AUGUGAAAAAAUAGAAGUAAAGAACGGUCAAAGGGCAAAAAUAUAAGAGUUAGGGAAUACACCAAUUAAUUAUUAAGAGUUGGCUACAUUUAAUGAGAAUACAAUACCUCAAAAAUGAUAGUUAGCGGAAUUAACAACAAUAAAUUAAUUGUUUGUACAUAUGUUUUUUAGAUGCAAUUACUAGUAACCUGGGGCGAAUCUAUGUGUAAAGGAGGGAUGCCACCGUACCAGUGAACUUGUUGAAACUUCGUAUGUUUUAUAUAUAUAUAUAUAUAUAUAUAUUAUUCUUAUAUAUAAACCAACAAGGGUAGGACUAACACAAUGACAAGUUAUACGAAAAGCAUUCUAAAUAGUACUCUAAAAUUGCUACUUUCUCCCCUUCACAAAAACAUGUGGCAACACCAUCGUUCUUCAGGGAAACACCUGUCAGCACAAUUGUUAAGCACGUGUGCUUUUCCAUUCCCAUUCCAUCACAAUAUCAUUCAAACCCUUUCUCCACAAGCUCUUCUCUCAACUCUCAAGACUCUGCAUCCCAGCCUCUUGCAGCUCCAUAGUCCAAAUUGUGGACAUGAGUCGAGAGCGAGAAAGUUUGGAGAAGAAAAUCAGAUUUCAUAUUUUGAUUUUGGAAGAUACAGAGAGGAUACCUGCACUACAAGUUUUGCCAUCAAAGAAAUUCAACGAUUGAAUGACUGGAAUCAGUUUGAAGUCAUAAUGACCAACUUCAACCUAUUACUCUGAACUUGAUCUUUGCUAAGAGCCUUGGUGAAGAUAUCUUCAAUUGGUUCCUCCGUUGGACAAUAUGAUUCUUUCCCAUACUGACUGCACUAGUAUUGUCACACAUAAGAGGUAUGGCCUUGAUGAUUACCCCAAAAUCCUCUAAGUGUUGUUUGAUCCAUAACAAUUGUGAACAACAUAUAACAGUUGCUACAUAUUCAGCUUCAGCUGUUGAAAGAGCUACUGAAUUUUUUUUCUUAAUUCCCCAUGAGAUAAGUGAAGAUAUAAGGAAAUGCGACAUCCCUGUAGUGCUUUCCUGCCAACUUGAUAAUUAGCAAAAUCAACAUCUGCAAAACCAACAAGAUCAAAAGUGUCACCUGCUGGGUAGAAAAGAACCAGGUCCCCUGUCUUCUUUAAAUAUCUUAGAAUCCAUUUUGCAACCUUCAAAUGUGAAUCACAAGGACAUGACACACAUUCCAACACUAUAUACGAUAUCAGGUCUACUAGCAGUCAGAUACAAUAAGGAUCCAAUGAUCCCCUAUAGAUGGUUUGAUUCACAAGUGAAUCAGAUUCAUCAGCUAUAAGCUUGUAGUUUGUUCCAAUAAGAGUAUCAAUAGGUUUAGAAUCAAACAUAUUGAAUUUCUUCAACAGCUCCUUAAUGUACUUCUCCUGACUGAUUGAGAUUCCAUUUGAUGAUUGUUUAUUUGUAGCCCCAGAAAGAAGGUAAAUUCAUCCAUCAUGCUCAUCUCAAACUUCUUUCCCAUUAAUGAUGAAAAUUCUUCACACAAAUGCUCCGAUGUAGCUCGAAAGAUAAUGUCAUCCACAUAUGCUUGUAUAAUAAGCAAAUCCUGUUUUGCUUUGAAUAAGAACAAGGUAUUGUCUAUUUUCCCUAUUUUGAACCCAUUUUUCGACAGGAACUUCGACAAUAUUUCAUACAAAGCUUUGGGAGCUUGUUUUAAACGAUACAGAGCCUUAUUCAAUUUGAACACAUGAUCUGGUAACUCAGCAUCCUCAAACCCAGGAGGUUGUUUAACAAACACCUCCUCUUUUAAGUCUCCAUUUAGGAAAGCACUCUUGACAUCCAUUUGAUAUAGCUUGAAUCUGAUGAAUGCUGCAAAGGCUAUGAGAACUCUGAUAGCCUCCAUCCUUGAAACAGGAGCAAAGGUUUCAUAAUAUUCUAUACCUUCUACUGAUUGUAUCCUUGAACAACUAAUCUAGAUUUUUUUCUAGUAAUCACACCAUUUCCAUCAAGCUUGUUUCUGAAAACCCAUCUGGUUCCUACAACAGUUCUGUCAACAGGUCGAGGAACCAGGUACCACACCUUACUUAUUUCAAACUGAUGGAGUUCUUCUUGCAUUGAAUUAAUCCAAUCUGCAUCACCUAAUGCCUCUUUCACAUUCUUAGGCCCAAUUGAUGAUAUAAACGCUUUGAAUGCAACUAGAUUUCUUGUUUUUGAUCUAGAGUGAGUUUCAGAGUUCAGAGGUGAGAUGAGAUUAUCAAGUGGAUGUGAUGAACUGUGUUUCCGUCCUGGUCUCAAGGUCAACUAGUUUAGCUGAUUAGUAUGCUCUUCUUCUUAGAGGAAUUCUUCAUUUUCUGGAGAGUUUGAGAUAUUCUGAUUUGAGUUCAGAAUGGUACCAGGUUCCUCUUCAUAUUUUUCAUCUUCAUCAGCCUUUUCAGAUGAGCUUUGAUUAGCAUUGUCAAUCUCCAAUUGGUAUUUACAUUAGCUUUACUUCCUUCAAUUUUCUGAGGAUUAAACAACUCAAUUAACUCAUCUUCAUCAUUUGAUGCAUCACCUUUCAGGUUUCCAUCUUCAUCAAACACAACAUGAAUACUUUAUUCAAUACAUUGAGUUCUCUUGUUGAAAACUCUAUAUGUUUUACUUGAUGAAGAAUAUCCUACAAACACUCCAUCACUUCUACGAUCAAACUUUCCUAGAUCAUCCAUUCCAUUGUUCAAAACAAAACAUUUGCAUCCAAAUGCCUAAGGUAGCUCAACAUAGGUUUUCUGUUGUUGAGUAAUUCAUAGGGGGUCUUAUUCAGUGAAGACCUUAUCAAACAUCUGUUAGUAACAUGACAUGUUGUGUUGAUUGCUUCAGCCCAAAAACAUUGAGGAAGAUUUGACUCAAUAAUCAUGGUCCUUGCAAUAUUUUCCAAGGUUCUGUUUUUCCUUUCGACUUCUCCAUUAUUUUGGGGAGUUCUUAGAGCAGAAAAAUUGGGACUAGUGCCAUUUUUCAUACAGAAUUGAUCAAUUUUUUAGUUUUCAAACUCAGUUCCAUGAUCAGACCUAAUUCCAGCAAUCACUUGAUUCAACUUUGUUUGAAUCAUUUUGAAAAACACUACCAACUCUUCCAGUGUUUCUGCUUUUGAUCUUAAGAACCUUGUCCAUGUGUACCUUAAGUAGUCAUCAACUAUCACCAGAUUGUAUUUCUUUCCACUUCUACUUUGAACCUUCAAAGGUCCACAUAAAUCCAUAUGUAGCAGCUCUAAUAUUAUCGAGGAGGUUACUUGAUUCUUUGACUUGAAGGAUGAUCUGAUUUCUUUGCCUUUUGACACAGGCUUCACAAAUUUUACUUUCACAAAAUUUCAACUUUGGCAGACCUACGACCAGGUUCUUAGAAAUCAGUUUAUUCAAUAAAAAUGAGGUUACAUGCCCUAGUCUUCGAUGCCACAGAUCAGCAUUUUCAUUUUGAGCACUAAGACAUGUCAGAUCAUGUCCAUGAGAUGUUUAUAAGUUAGCCACAUACAUGUUUUUACUUCUAUAAGCAGUAAGAAUCACUUUCUUUGUAGUUAGAUUAACUACAGUGCACUUCUCAGAUGUAAAUUUCACUUCAUGUCUCUUGUCACAAAUUUCAGACACACUCAAAAGACUAUCCUUCAACCCACUGACAUGACACACGUUGUCAAUGGAUUCCCCAAGCGAUUUUCCCACUUUACCAACACCUAAAAUAUACCUCUUCUUUCCAUCACCACAAGAGACACCUCCUCCCUGAAGUGCCUUGAGUGAGAGGAAAUUUUUGAUAUCACCAGUCAUAUGUUUAGAGCAUCCACUGUCCAUGUACCAACAUUGAAUGCUGCUCCUCUCACUCACCUGCAGCAAGAAUCACUUGUUAGGUAUGGGAAUCCAUUUCAAUUUGAGUUCCCAAAAAGCAGACAAAGGAGUGAUCAAAGUGUUUCUAGCCUAAUGAGGUAGUUUCAGAUUCUUUUUGACAAAGGAUUUUUGAGCUGGAUCAAGUCCUUUCUUUGAAAAUCUUUUGGUUGACAAUUGUUUUGUGGGACAAUGCCUCUCUUUUGAAACCCUUUGCUUUUCUGUGUACUUUGAAAGUCUCACAUGUGACUUUCUCCAGGCAGUACACUCUUCUUUUAAAUGCCCAUUUUUACCAUAAUGAAGGCACAUCAAAUUAUCAGACACAAAUACAUAUUUGUUGUGAGGAUUGAAAGAAGGAGUAAUAUUCAAACUUUCUAAACCCUUCUUGUUGAAAUUACUUUGAUUUGUUACGUUUGAAAACGGCUUAGAAUACUUUGUACACUUAAGAGAUUUUCCAAUUUCAUCUUUAAGUUUGACAAUAUCCUUUUCUAAGUAGUUUCUUCUUUCCAAAGCCAAACCAAGAUUAGUCUUAGAGGUUUUCAGUUUUUCUUCAAGAUCAACUUGUAAACAAUUAGACUUUCCUUUUUGCUUUUUAGCUUUCUCAUUUAUCAGAUGCAACUGUUUUUAUGUUUUAUUUUGUCAGAUUCCAGAACAGCCAUUUUAUCUUCAAUUUUCAGCAUUUUCUAAUCCAUUUUAUCUCUAUUUUCAUUUAUGCUUUCAAGCUCAGCAUCAUAAUAUCUCUUUCAGAAGUUAACUCAAUAACUGAAUCAAUCCUAACAUUUGCUAAUGUUCUCAAUUUUUUAAGAGAAUAGGUAUUCAGAUCAUGUUUCAUAUCAAGAAGAGUUACUUUAUCCUCAUCAUCUUCAUUUUUUGAAUGAGCCAUGAAAGCAAACAUCUCAUUGAAUAUGGUUUCCUCUUCAUGAACCACCACCAUUGACACAUCAUUUGGUUCAUCAAGAUCUCUAAGUCACUUAAAGAGUCUCCCCAUGCAGAAGAGCUUUCUUGAACACAUAGUCAGCAACAACUUUCCGAUCAUUCUUAUUGAGUACUAGGUCCCUUCGAUUUUCUUUAUCACCUCUUGAUUUUUGAUAUUCUUUGUUUCAGCUUUGAGUAAUGGACACUCUCUUAUAAAGUGUCCAGCUUUUUCACUCUUGUAACAAGUAUCAUUUUGAGUGGCAGUUCGAGGAACAUUUGCUCCCUUUCUAAAACCUCUAUUUUUCCUCACAAUCUUAUGAAAUCUCUUGAUGAGGUAAGCCAUAUCAUCUUCAUCACUGGAGUCCUCUUCAGAUCUGUAUUUCAGUAUCAAGGACUUAUCUUUCUUGACUUUCUUAUUUGACUGAUCAUGACUUCGGUUCAUCUCAUCAGUCUUUAGAUUUCCAAUGAGAGCAUCCAUUGUUAACAGGUCCUUUGCUUCAGUAAUAGCAUCAACCUUACUUUCUCAAGACUUGGGAAUGAUUCGAAGAACUUUACUGACUUGCUUACUUAUACUGAUAGGUUCUCCAAGACUUCUCAACUCAUUUGUGAUGGAUGACAGUUUAGUGAACAUUUCAUGAAUAGUUUCACCUUCUCUCAUUUAGAAAUUUUCAUACUGAGAUUUAAGCAUAUCAAUCUUUGACUCUUUUACUUGUUCAGAUCCUUAUGGACUACUUUUAAGCAAUCCCAUAUCUCUUUUGCAGAUUCACAAGCUGAGACAAGAUUGUACUCAUCAGAUCCUAUACCACAGACAAGAAGUUUCUUGCUUUUUACCCCUUUUCAAUCUUCUUCCUAUCAUCUUCAUCAUAUUUUUGCCUUGUCUUUGGAACAAGCCGAGUGUUUUCACCAUCUUUCUCUUCAAUAAUAGGGAUGAAUGGUCCAUCUAAAACAUGUCCCAUAGUUCAUUGCCUUCAUCCAUAAGGAAGUCGUGCAUUCUCACUUUCCACCAACUAUAAAAGUGGCCAUUGAAAUGAGGGGGUCUAGUUGAAGACUGACCCUCUUCCAGAUUAAGUGGAGCAUCCAUUCUAGAACGGGAAUCACUCUCUUGGUGACCAGAUAGAGAAUACUGACUCUGAUACCACUUGUUAGAAUCUGUGCGUCCACUAUCAGUCAAUGGACCAGGUCCCUUAACACAUAAAUAAAGAUAUAACAGAAAUUAAAUGCAGUUUAACAACAGAGGAGUUUUACGUGGAAACCCCCUUUCUCAAGGGAGUAAAACCACGACCUGUCUCACAGGAUUUUCACAACCGUUUCACUAAUCUUCACAAGAAAAAGAAAACCGGUUACACAAAUGUGAGAAAAAGUUUUUAAUCUCACCAAUAAGCAAUAACUCUAUUGCUUGAUGAGCCUAAGUAGAUGUUAUUCUACCCACUAAGCUAUCACUCUAGACAACUUAGAAUUUUCUAAGCAACACAACAGUUACCCACUAAAUUAGUUCAACUAACUAACUUAGAAUUUCAAAUCAAACCACACUAAUUACUUUAUAGAUUUAGGAUCAGUUUACAAUGUAAGACCGAAUGAAUAUAUUCUCAAACAACUACACAAUAUACGUCUGAGUUUAGGUUGUUCUUGAAUGAUUCUUCUCCUUGAUUUUCUUACCUUUGCAAGAGUUCUUGAAUGUGUUUUUUCAAGUUGCAAAACUAAAGAGCAAUGUAUGUAAAGAUGACAUUGUAUAGACAAGUCACAUUCCUUAAACCCCUGCCAUUGGUUGGAAAGGUCUGACGUUUCUGACGCAGUUGGAAACUGUGCACCAACUUUCUGUACCUUCUCCAUCUGGCAGUCAAUGAACUAUUCAAGUUGAGAACCGGGUAUCUUCACAAGGUCCCUGAGUUUGUUACAUCAUCAAAACUACAAAUAACAUGUCUGUUUGAAUACUGUAUAAUUGCAGAAAGUAUCUUCCUCAUUUUGAUGUUGCUGGAAAAGAAAAGUCUUUAUGGAUUCUCAAUAUCUACAACUUCUCUUGGUAUGAAGGACCAAUUAUUAGGAACUAGGAAGGUGGGAGUAACAAAGAUGAUAUGCAGGUUUUCCAUGUUUUUUGUCACCUCAACGCUCCAAAUUCAAAAUGAAGUGGAUAUGUCACUUUCAGUUAAGUUUGUUGAAUCAAACUUUUGUUUAAGUAAAUAUUCACUAUUAUGAAACUAACUUCACUAUGUGUACAUGUAUAAAUACAUAUACUCUUGGAAGAAUUUUUCUCGUUCCGUAUAUUAAUUCUGAAUGACAUUGUCCUGAUUCACAAGUACAAGAACAGAAGUCAGAAAGUGAUUUUGUGAUGACUAAUGAGGCAUUAGAGAGGGAAAAGGCGUGGUAUAUGGGGGUGAUGAUUCAACUUUGCGAACGGGGUGAUCUUUAGUUAUUUCAUACUGGAUGUGGUAUUGAUUCGUUUGAUGUGGAAGCUAUUGAAGUUCUCAAUGCUCAGAAAACUGAUUUUGGGAUGUAUUGAUGUUUGACUAUAUUUCAUGUUUCUGUAUGAGUUCUCCUUCAUUGUUGUGUGUUUGUAAUAAAUAAAUUCCCUUUCUCGGUUGAUUUUAUUUGUCGCUAUAAGGAAGAUGAAGUUUGACAUCAAUAAAGCGAGAGACUUUCUUCUAAAAUGCUACAUCACAUUUUUCAUGCUUUUGGUUCUGUGGAAGGUGAAAGGGCCAGGGACAGAACUCCGGACACAUAACUCCAGGGGGAGCACUCUCUGGGGACAUAACAAUAUUCUGUCACCGCGAGCUUAGGACAUUGGUUUGUGGCAGUCGUAAGGACAAGUUUGCGCGCAGGACACUUUGAUCUUCGAGCCUUGUAUGAUAGUGAGGGUUAGUGAGAUUCGGGCUGCCAAGGGUCCCACAUUCUGGUGAGUUGAAGAUUGCUUUUGAAAAUUUAUACAUUUCAUUCGAGAUUCUUCUCAUGCAUUUGUGCAUAUUCAAUGAAAGUUGUAAUUGCUAAAUUCGUUGAAAAGAUUCACGGUUAAAGGCAGAACCGAAAUUCUUACUCUUAUGCCUCAUGGUUGGUGAGGAAAUAGAAAUCAUGAGAAACGGUGAAAUUAGAUUGUUUAUCUGUUAAUCUAUAUACGUCAAUUUUCUUCGUU